CAUCACUACGCUAGAUGCAUAUCAAUAAGCGGAGGAAAAGAAACUAACAAGGAUUCCCCUAGUAACGGCGAGUGAAGCGGGAAGAGCUCAAAUUUGAAAUCUUAAAGGGUUUCCCUUUACGAAUUGUAGUUUAAAGAAGUGUUUUCUGUUGAGGUUUUGGUAAAAGUUCUUUGGAAUAGGACAUCAUAGAGGGUGAGAAUCCCGUAUUUGACCUUUACUUUCAACUUUGUGAUACACUUUCAAAGAGUCGGAUUGUUUGGGAAUGCAGUCCAAAAUGGGUGGUAAAUUUCAUCUAAAGCUAAAUAUUGGCGAGAGACCGAUAGCGAACAAGUACCGUGAGGGAAAGAUGAAAAGAACUUUGAAAAGAGAGUUAAACAGUACGUGAAAUUGUCAAAAGGGAAGCGUUUGACACCAGUGUUGUUUUUCUGAAAAUCAAUUAAAGAACUGUUUAUGCUAAGUUGUUUAGACUUUAUCAGCUAUCUGUUUAGUUUUGAGCUUUUCUUUAAUGCACUUUUCAGUUAACAAGUCAACAUCAAUUUCUUUUGCUGUAAAAAAGCUUGAGGAAGGUGGCUUGAGAUUCGUCUUAAGUGUUUAUAGCCUCUUGCCUCUGCAGUCGGAGAGAUUGAGGUCUGCAGCGUAGAUCCUUCGGGGCUUAAUAGCAUUUGUACUAAGUUAUAGCAUUUUCAUAGACAACUUGUUGACUAUGAUUUAGUCUUGUAGCUUACUCGCUUAUGCUAUUUUACCUACGCUUAGGAUGUUGACGCAUGAGAUAUACGC
rnacentral:rRNA from 1 species